rnacentral:rRNA from 1 species
GCUAGCUACAGGCUUAACACAUGCAAGUCGAGGGGCAGCAUGGUCUUAGCUUGCUAAGGCCGAUGGCGACCGGCGCACGGGUGAGUAACACGUAUCCAACCUGCCGUCUACUCUUGGACAGCCUUCUGAAAGGAAGAUUAAUACAAGAUGGCAUCAUGAGUCCGCAUGUUCACAUGAUUAAAGGUAUUCCGGUAGACGAUGGGGAUGCGUUCCAUUAGAUAGUAGGCGGGGUAACGGCCCACCUAGUCUUCGAUGGAUAGGGGUUCUGAGAGGAAGGUCCCCCACAUUGGAACUGAGACACGGUCCAAACUCCUACGGGAGGCAGCAGUGAGGAAUAUUGGUCAAUGGGCGAGAGCCUGAACCAGCCAAGUAGCGUGAAGGAUGACUGCCCUAUGGGUUGUAAACUUCUUUUAUAAAGGAAUAAAGUCGGGUAUGGAUACCCGUUUGCAUGUACUUUAUGAAUAAGGAUCGGCUAACUCCGUGCCAGCAGCCGCGGUAAUACGGAGGAUCCGAGCGUUAUCCGGAUUUAUUGGGUUUAAAGGGAGCGUAGAUGGAUGUUUAAGUCAGUUGUGAAAGUUUGCGGCUCAACCGUAAAAUUGCAGUUGAUACUGGAUAUCUUGAGUGCAGUUGAGGCAGGCGGAAUUCGUGGUGUAGCGGUGAAAUGCUUAGAUAUCACGAAGAACUCCGAUUGCGAAGGCAGCCUGCUAAGCUGCAACUGACAUUGAGGCUCGAAAGUGCGGGUAUCAAACAGGAUUAGAUACCCUGGUAGUCCACACGGUAAACGAUGAAUACUCGCUGUUUGCGAUAUACUGCAAGCGGCCAAGCGAAAGCGUUAAGUAUUCCACCUGGGGAGUACGCCGGCAACGGUGAAACUCAAAGGAAUUGACGGGGGCCCGCACAAGCGGAGGAACAUGUGGUUUAAUUCGAUGAUACGCGAGGAACCUUACCCGGGCUUAAAUUGCAGAUGAAUUACGGUGAAAGCCGUAAGCCGCAAGGCAUCUGUGAAGGUGCUGCAUGGUUGUCGUCAGCUCGGGCCGUGAGGUGUCGGCUUAAGUGCCAUAACGAGCGCAACCCUUGUUGUCAGUUACUAACAGGUUCCGCUGAGGACUCUGACAAGACUGCCAUCGUAAGAUGUGAGGAAGGUGGGGAUGACGUCAAAUCAGCACGGCCCUUACGUCCGGGACUACACACGUGUUACAAUGGGGGGUACGGAGGGCCGCUACCACGCGAGUGGAUGCCAAUCCCCAAAACCUCUCUCAGUUCGGACUGGAGUCUGCAACCCGACUCCACGAAGCUGGAUUCGCUAGUAAUCGCGCAUCAGCCACGGCGCGGUGAAUACGUUCCCGGGCCUUGUACACACCGCCCGUCAAGCCAUGGGAGCCGGGGGUACCUGAAGUGCGUAACCGCGAGGAGCGCCCUAGGGUAAAACUGGAG